AACGUAGGAGGCAAGCGUUAUCCGGAGUUACUGGGCGUAAAGCGCAUGUAGGCGGUUGGGCAAGUUGAGUGUGAAAGCUCCCGGCUAAACUGGGAGAGGACAUUUAAGACUGCCCGGCUAGAGGAUGGUAGAGGGGCGCAGAAUUCGGGGUGUAGCGGUGAAAUGUGUAGAGAUCCCGAGGAACAUCAGUGGCGAAGGCGACUGUCUGGACAGAUACUGACGCUGAGGCGCGAAAGCGUGGGGAGCAAACAGG
rnacentral:rRNA from 1 species